rnacentral:rRNA from 1 species
CGCGGGAAUUCGAUUUUCCGGUUGAUCCUGCCGGAGGUCACUGCUAUUGGGAUUCGACUAAGCCAUGCGAGUCGAGAGGGUUCGGCCCUCGGCUGACGGCUCAGUAACACGUGGAUAAUCUGCCCUAAGGUGGAGGAUAACCUCGGGAAACUGAGAAUAAUACUCCAUAGGUCUAGGAUGCUGGAAUGCACCUAGGCUUAAAACUCCGGUGCCUUAGGAUGAGUCUGCGGACUAUCAGGUUGUAGUCAGGGUAAUGACCUGACUAGCCUACGACGGAUAUGGGUUGUGAGAGCAAUAACCCAGAGAUGAUAUCUGAGACACGAUAUCAGGCCCUACGGGGCGCAGCAGGCGCGAAAACUUCACAAUGUGCGAAAGCACGAUGAGGGAAUCCCAAGUGCUUGCACGUAAGUGUAAGCUGUUUCUAUGUUUAAAACGCAUAGAGAGUAAGGGCUGGGUAAGACGGGUGCCAGCCGCCGCGGUAAUACCUGCAGCUCGAGUGGUGGCCGCUAUUAUUGGGCCUAAAACGUCCGUAGCCGGUUUAAUAAAUGCCCGGGUAAAUCGUGUAGCUUAACUAUACGAAUUCUGGGUAGACUGUUAAACUUGAGAUCGGGAGAAGUUAGAGGUACUCCUGGGGUAGAGGUGAAAUUCUGUAAUCCUAGGGGGACCACCAGUGGCGAAGGCGUCUGACUAGAACGAGUCUGACGGUGAGGGACGAAGCCCUGGGUCGCAAACCGGAUUAGAUACCCGGGUAGUCCAGGGUGUAAACGCUGCUUGCUUGAUGUUAGUCGGGCUCCGAGCCC